rnacentral:piRNA from 1 species
UAGUAUGUAAGUAAUCGAGAAACGACUA